GGAACGUUGAAGACGACGACGUUGAUAGGCCGGGUGUGUAAGCGCAGCGAUGCGUUGAGCUAACGGUACUAAUGAACCGUGAGGCUUAACCUUAC
rnacentral:rRNA from 1 species